rnacentral:rRNA from 1 species
UACGGAGGGUGCAAGCGUUAUCCGGAUUCACUGGGCUUAAAGGGUGCGUAGGCGGGCAGGUAAGUCAGUGGUGAAAUCCUAGAGCUUAACUCUAGAACUGCCAUUGAUACUAUCUGUCUUGAAUAUUGUGGAGGUAAGCGGAAUAUGUCAUGUAGCGGUGAAAUGCUUAGAUAUGACAUAGAACACCUAUUGCGAAGGCAGCUUACUGGGCAUAUAUUGACGCUGAGGCACGAAAGCGUGGGGAUCAAACAGG